GCCGGAGUAGCUCAGGGGUAGAGCAGGGCUUUCGUAAAGCCAAGGUCGUGGGUUCAAAUCCCACCUCCGGCU
rnacentral:tRNA from 1 species